rnacentral:lncRNA from 1 species
AUGAUUCAUGGUACUAAUUUUACAAACGUUGGUAACGAUUAUUCUAAUGCUCUUACCAGAUAUACAACAUGUGGUAAAACGAAAGAUAUAAAUGACACUUUAAAAAAAAAAAAAAUAAAACAAAAUUGUUAUGAUCGUAGCAGUAGUAGAACUAGUAGUAAAACUAGUGAUAAAACUUGCAGUAAAACUAGUGGUAAGGAUAAAAUUAUAAAUAAUGAACAAACAAAUAAUUCUAUUAUAAUAAAUAAAAAUACAAAAAAUGUUGAUUUAGGUGAUAGUAUACAACCUGUUAAAAGUUAUAAUAAGAAUGUAAACUUAAAAAAUAAUGGUUUAAAUAUUACUACUACAAAUAGUACUAUUACUACUGAUGGUUUACCAAAAUUAAAUAAAAAAUUUAAAGAUUUUUCUACUGUUGAUAUUAGAGAUGAUAAAAAAACAAAUGAUUAUUAUUAUAAUUCCAAAAACAAUUUUUCAAAUAUUAUUCUUUUCACUGAUAAUGAAGAAGAAAAAAAAAAAAGUAAAAAAAUAAAAAAAAAAAAUAAAAAAAAAAAUAAAAAAAAAAAUAAAAAAAAAAAUAAAAAAAAAAAUAAAAAGGAUGAUAGUAAUAAUAAUAAUAACAGUAGCAGUAGUAAUAAUAAUAAAAUUAUAAAAAAAAAAACAAGUAGUAGUAGUAGUAGUAGUAGUAGUGAUAGUAGUGAUAGUAGUAGUAAUAGUAGUAAUAGUAGUAAUAGUAGUAGGAGGAGAAUAUCAAAUAUAAGAGCAUGUAUUAAUGAUUAUUGUCCUGCUCCCUUACUAGAUGAUGAACACAUUGCAACAUCACCAACACAUAUGAGAUCUCUUCAAACGACUAAUAAUAAUAGAAGAGAAGAUAAUAAUACAUUAAGAAGAACCAACAAUAAUAAAAGUAUUAACAAUGCUAAUUAUAGAGAUUAUAAAAAUGUUGAAAUUAACAUACCUUGGAGAAUUAUAAAUCAUAUUUUAAUUUUAUUAGAAGAAGAGACAGGUUAUAGAAGACCUGAUUUGUCAGCAUAUAUAACUUCAUAUUAUAAUACAAAUUCGAUUUUUGUAUUUUUUUAUUUAUUUGUUCAUAUAAAUAAUAUUAUUAAUAGUAUAAUAAUUCAAUUUAAUCAUUCUAAUUUUUUAAAUAAUAAUAUUACUUUGGCUUCUUUUUCUCGAAUCAGUGUUAUUUUAACAUUAGCAUCAGCUAUAUUUUCUCGAUUAUCCAAUUUUUUCUAUGAAUUUUAUAACAAUUUUUUUGAUAAUAAUUAUACAAGUAGUAAUGGUUAUACAUAUCCUGAUGCAAUUAAUCAUGAAUAUUUAAGAGAACUUCGAAAUUUUUAUUAUGCAAAUAACAGAAAUAAUAAUAAUCGUCGUUUUAACAUUCCAGCUGCUACUCAACAAAAUGUUAAUAAUAUUUUUAGAAACAAUAACAUAAGUAAUAAUAUAAAUAAUAAUAAUACUAGUAGUUAUGCAUAUAAUAAUAAUUAUAGAAACAGAAGAACUUCUUUAGAUAUUAGACAUCGGUUUGUUAAUAAUAUUAAUAAUAAUAAUAAUAAUAAUUUAGAUACAUAUAAUAUGAACAGACAUGAUGAUAAUAAUAAUAAUAACAAUGAACAUAUCAAUAAUAUGGACGAUAUAGAAUUUUCUAUUUUAUAUAAUAAUGUUCAAAACACUUGUAAUAGUAGAGGUAAUUUACAAAAAGAAUUUGAAGACUAUUAUAAAAAUUAUUUACAUCCAGUUAGUUGUAAUAAUAGAAAUAUAAUUUUAAAAAAAGAGUUUACUCGUCAUAAGGAUUAUAAUUUUAAUGAUUAUGUAACAGAACCUGAUGAUAUUAAUAAAGAUACUGGUAGUAGUAACGAAAAAAGUAGCAACAACGAAAAAAGUAGCAACAACGAAAAAAAGUAGCAACAACGAAAAAAGUAGCAACAACGAAAAAAAUAGCAAUAACGAAAAAAAUAGCAAUAACGAAAAUAGUAAAAAUAUUCAUAACAUGCUUAAUCUGAAUUUUGUUAAUGAAAAAAUGAAUAACAACAUAAAAAAUGGAAGGGAGGAAUAUAAUGAUAAAAAUCCUUUUACUCAUUUUUCACAACUGAGUAAUAAUAGGAAUAGUAAGAAUACGAAAACUCGAUUCCAUUCGAGUAAUAAAAAAAAAAAUGAUAAAAAAGAAAUACA